GACGAACCGUGCGAACGUUAUUCGGAAUCACUGGGCUUAAAGCGCGUGUAGGCGGGCCGCCACGUCGGCUGCUGAAAUCCCCCGGCUCAACCGGGGAACGGGCACCGAUACGAGCGGCCUCGAGGGGGGUAGGGGGGUCUGGAACUUCCGGUGGAGCGGUGAAAUGCGUUGAGAUCGGAAGGAACGCCCGUGGCGAAAGCGAGGCCCUGGACCCUUACUGACGCUGAGACGCGAAAGCCAGGGGAGCGAACGGG
rnacentral:rRNA from 2 species